UGGGGAAUAUUGGACAAUGGGCGAAAGCCUGAUCCAGCCAUGCCGCGUGUGUGAAGAAGGUCUUCGGAUUGUAAAGCACUUUAAGUUGGAAGGAAGGGCAGUAAGCGAAUACCUUGCUGUUUUGACGUUACCGACAGAAUAAGCACCGGCUAACUCUGUGCCAGCAGCCGCGGUAAUACAGUGGGUGCAAGCGUUAAUCGGAAUUACUGGGCGUAAAGCGCGCGUAGGUGGUUCGUUAAGUUGAAUGUGAAAGCCCCGGGCUCAACCUAGGAACUGCAUCCAAAACUGGCGAGCUAGAGUAGGGCAGAGGGUGGGGGAAUUUCCUGUGCAGCGGAGAAAUGCGUAGAUAUAGGAAGGAACACCAGUGGCGAAGGCGACCACCUGGGCUCAUACUGACACUGAGGUGCGAAAGCGUGGGGAGCAAACAGG
rnacentral:rRNA from 1 species